GACGAACCGUGCGAACGUUAUUCGGAAUCACUGGGCUUAAAGCGCGUGUAGGCGGGAGGGCACGUCCGUCGCUGAAAUCCCCCGGCUCAACCGGGGAACGGGCGCGGAUACGACCUUCCUGGAGGGGCGUAGGGGGACCUGGAACUUCCGGUGGAGCGGUGAAAUGCGUUGAGAUCGGAAGGAACGCCCGUGGCGAAAGCGAGGUCCUGGACGCCUACUGACGCUGAGGCGCGAAAGCGUGGGGAGCAAACAGG
rnacentral:rRNA from 1 species